rnacentral:rRNA from 1 species
AACGAACGCUGGCGGCAUGCCUAACACAUGCAAGUCGAACGAGACCUUCGGGUCUAGUGGCGCACGGGUGCGUAACGCGUGGGAACCUGCCCUUAGGUUCGGAAUAACUCCCCGAAAGGUGUGCUAAUACCGGUUAAUGUCUUCGGACCAAAGAUUUAUCGCCUUUGGAUGGGCCCGCGUUGGAUUAGCUAGUUGGUAGGGUAAAAGCCUACCAAGGCGACGAUCCAUAGCUGGUCUGAGAGGAUGAUCAGCCACACUGGGACUGAGACACGGCCCAGACUCCUACGGGAGGCAGCAGUGGGGAAUAUUGGACAAUGGGCGAAAGCCUGAUCCAGCAAUGCCGCGUGAGUGAUGAAGGCCUUAGGGUUGUAAAGCUCUUUUACCCGGGAUGAUAAUGACAGUACCGGGAGAAUAAGCUCCGGCUAACUACGUG